rnacentral:lncRNA from 1 species
UAGGCAAAAUUAGUAUAUAUCUUCAUAUUGAUCUGAUUAAUUAGUUAAAUAGAAUGUACACACGAUAACGACACUUACUUAAAGUUGUAGGGAAAGAGUAUAUAUAUUUUAUCUUUUUGGUUGAUCAAGAACCUCCGUUGAUUUCUCUCCGUUUGAGUUCUCCAUAAGACAUACAGGGUCUUGUGGUCUUUGAAUACAACAUUUGGAUCCACAAAUCCAAUCUCCUUGUCAUUUCUAACUCUGAGGUCCCUCAUCAUGUUUCUGCAUAUGUAUAGCGGGUUUCUGUAAUUAGUUAUAUAUAUAUACAUGAUAAGUUACAGAGACAUUAUUGAAAGGAAGAAUCACUUACAGACAGAAGCAACUCAUUAGAGAUUUGUCAAGAGCGUCCAUGUGGCAU